rnacentral:tRNA from 1 species
ACUUGGCUAGCUCAGUCAGUAGAGCAUGCGACUCUUGAUCUCAGGGUCUUGAGUUAGAGCCCCACGUUGAGUG